CUGGCCGGAGAGGGGGCGGGGAGGCGGCGCGGAAAAGUAAAGUGACAGCUGAGUCCCGCUCGCGGGCCGGGCCGCGGAGGGCGUGAGCCAGAAGCGUCCGACAGGGAAGGAACAGCAAGCACCCGGAGAGAAAAUAUCAAAGUUGGUGUUUAGUCCUUAUUCCUUGGCAGCUGGGAGCCAGAAUGCGGCAAUGUCAUCUUCCAUCCCUGAAAAGGAGUGGAAGAGGUUCCACUGCUUGACUGCUGAAGCUGGUUCCAACAGACUCAUGGGAUACCACGGAUUGGGGAUGGACAGGCGAAAGGAAGAGGGAAGGGCCACAGUGUGAGUCUAAGCUGUUUCAACCUAAGAUAUGGAUUAGAGUGGUAGAACAAGCCUGAAAGGAGGAGAGGAAUAUUUAAAUGAGGGCCCAAGGAGUGUCCUGAGAAGAACUGACCUGAACAGAAGAAAAAAAGAUGGGAGGCAUAGAUGAUUUGAGCUUUUCUUGAUCAUAGCAGGUAUCCUGCCCCUAGUUCUUUUAUCAUUCUCUAUAAGGGCAAUUCUUCGCAAGACAUGAAGAUUUUUACUUAAGUCCAAGAAGAAAAAAUUCUAAGAACAGCUAUUUGCCCACAAAAUGUGUUUGACAACAGUUGCAUAAUAUAACACAAAGAAGGAAGUCAGGUGUUGCCGUGUGGAAGGAAUUGACAAAGUGGGAAGUGACACCAGCAGGGUCAGUGGCUUGGCCCAGAGGGGCAGCUUUUGAACUGGGAGGUGAUAGCACAGAACAGUCUGGGUGCAUCAAUGGAGGGUGUUGCAGGCCCUGAGCCAGUAAGAGAGCACACGUUACCUUUCACAUCGCCACCCUUCCAGGAGCCAGAAGUGGGAAGAAGGAAGUGGGCUGUGUUAUGAGCACCCGUGAGAGUGCACUGGUGACUCCCAGGGAGGAUGCAGAGGGCCUCUGGAGGAGGACUCCGCUCUUACAGCAGUGGGAAUGACCUUGUAGAACGUCUAAUCCAAGCCCCAUCUGACUUAGAAUUCUUUCCAGAAACUUUGCUUGUAGGUCUCCAGCGACAGGGCCCACCUGUCUCCCCUAAUCACUGCAUCUCUUGUUAGCUUUGCCUUUCUUUACCCCAAAUUGCUUCACAAUCCUUUUCACACUACACUUUGAGGGCUACAGAAUGAUGCUCACAGCCCCUCUGUAGAAAAGUUCUUUGAUUAUUUAAGAAGGGCUAACACACCUCAUGAGUUGAUUCCUCCCUAAAGUGAACAUCUUUUUCUUCACUUGUUCUUCAUGUGGCAGGGGUUUGUAUUUUCUCACCAUUUAUGGCACUCUCUUCCAAAUACACUGUAAUUUGUCUGGAUUUCUCUUAAAAUAUGGUGUCCGGAACUGAACAUGAUAUUCCAGGAGGAAUCAGUUCAGCUAAGAGCAGAAAGAAUGAAGCUAUUUGUUACCUGCUAUCCCCAUUCCAGGAAUUUGCCAUUCCCAACUGCUACAUGUAAUAUAAAUUCCCAUUCUGUAUGGGGAUAUUGCUUUUCAACCACACAUUACAUUAGGGUCAAGGGAAAUUUUUUUUAAAAAAUUAAAUUCAGGAGCCCCAAGAGUCCCGGAAACAGUCUUGGCAUAUCAAUUUUCUUCAUUUUAAGUCUUUGCCUCUCAAAUUAGCAUGCAUCCUCCAAAGGCCUAUAGAAAAUAAGGUUGUCACUUCUCGAAUGUAUAAAGAGCUUAAAAAAUUCAGAGCCCCCAAAUUUAAAGACCCAAUCCAAAAAUGGGCAUCUGAAA